UUUCAUUCCACCCUGGGGAAAAGAGUCCCACCUAAACGUUACUUUAUGCUGGAAGAUACAAAACCAGCGAUUUUCGGAUCAUAUAACUAUGAUCCUGUCAAACAAAUUUUUGGGCCAUUUGAAAACAAAGAUAAUAUUAUUGAAUCGGAUCACAAUCUUACCACAAUAGCUUUUUUAACGACCUCUGCUAGUGAAAAAACAAAAACAAGCGUAGAUGAAACGUAUUUAUUAAGGAAAAAUGAAAGAAAAAAUCGAAAAACAUAUCCCACAAUUAAAGUGAAAAUCACGAAUUGGUUGCAAAGCUCUAAGCCAACCCUAAUGACUUUGACCACUAAGAAAAGACAACUAAUGCUGUAAAGGAAUUGUUUAAUCUGUCGAAAAUGUAAUAUAAUACAAUCUUAUUUUAAAUUUAACUGAUAACUAUUAUAAUAAUUAUUAUAUUUA